CCUCCCGUGCUGCUCCUCUCCUCCAAUCCCCUCCCACUGCUCCUCCCCAAUCCCCUACCUCCACUCCAUCUCCGGCGAGAAGUGGUGGCCGCCGGUUGGAACAACAUCGGCAGCAGGGACGUUCACGGGCAGAGCACGACCAGAGGAGGCGGGCCAGAGCACGGCCGACCAACAGCGGGGAUCAAGGAUCCGACAACGGCGAAGCACAUGUGGGUUGGCGGCCUGCCCCAGAUCUUCAUUGAAAACCUGCAGAUCCAAACGAGAUUGCUGGGAGAUGAGGUAGACGUCUCGGGAAGCCAUGAAGAACUCGGUUCAGUUUGGUUCUGGGUGGUCUCCUUCUUGGCUGGUAGUUCUUCUCAUUGGUGGUGUACGAAUACACAUCAAUAAUAUUGGAAAGGGAGGAUGAUACAGUCACGAGCAGGGAUUUGGGACAAUUAAUUGUGAAGAAACCUUCAGACAUUGCUAAUUAAUGGAGUGAAAUUGGCAGGGCAUAGAUUUGGGGAAGCUAAUUGUAAAUGCAUCUACCUAUGCGAUAUCUAUGUUUUUCUCUGUACAAUUUUAUGAUAUUUCGAGCAGAAGCAAACUGCUAAAAAAAUUGAUUGAUGUAGCAUGUGGGGAACCGCUACUGUUAUCUUACCGAGUCGGCCUUUUUCGUUCCCCCUCUCUCUCACACACAGCUCGCAUCUGACCAAGACACGGGUAAUCUUCUACCCUUCUUCUUUUUAUUCAUCUUCGGGUCAGGAAUUAGAUUAGUUAAUGCUCAUGAAUAGGGUUCACCAGUUUCUUGAAUAGGGUUGGAACAGGAGGACAUGAGGGAACCAACAAGGAAGGGUGCUGCUAGCCUUCAAGUUGCCGUGGUGCUCCCCUCUUCCCAUCCCAGAAUAUUAUUUUCAAAACAGAUAAAUUAUUUUUGAUUCAUAUGCUUCUAAUCUUACCCUUUGUUUGGUUCAGCUGUUUUCUGAAGGAAGAAGACAAAGUUCUCUGUUUCUACGUUCGAAGUGAAUACAUGUAAAUCAAACGACAUGAGCUGGUAUUGGGAUGUGGUUUCUAGGUCUCAUCUUAUUGAUAUUAGCUCCUGCUCUUCUAUGAUUAGUUGUUUGUUCUUCCUGUUUUCUUGGGAAACACUGUAUGGUGCCCCGCUGGUGGCCGGUGAAUGCAGUCCCAACGUAGAAAUAUAUGAUUUUAUUGUCACUAGCAUUAGUUUGCUCACCUGUAUUUGGCCUUUAGCUAGAUAACUACAGUUAUUUGAAUAUAUAUCAUUUCUUUUAAUGAAUACCAGUUUUACCUCUUUUGCAGAUUAAUUACUGGUUAUCCUUCAUUGAAGUUUUUUGAGCCAAUGGAAAUAGAGAAAUUUACUUCUAUUGCCCUGAUAUGUUUCAAUGCAACCGCUUUAUUCCCAAGUGUAUUGUGGAUUGCGGGGAUGACCUUUGGAUAUGGUUAUGGUCGGGGAUGGCCUCUGGACAUGGUUAUGGCAUUCUAAUAAUUACAACAAGAGCAAUCUCAUUGCCUUGUAUAUGGCUUUCUAACAAUUACACCAGCCAUGAGCAUGAGGUUUCCAGAAUACACCGUUGUGCAAUUAGCUGCCAGAAGAUCAGGAGCUGCCUCACGGUAUAACCAGGCAGCCGGCAUCUGCGACGACAAUUGCGAUCUGCAUGACUCCGCGGCCGCAUUGCCUUCUAUAUGAGACAACUACUCUGCCGAAGGAUAUGUUGUUCCACAUGUUAAGUCUUCCAUUGAUAUGGAUGCUCGGAGGCGUGAAAUUCGUCUUGGCACGAUCCCAGUUGGAUAUGAGUAUGGGGAUGGUAUGUUUUCUUUUCUAAUGAGGAAU